rnacentral:rRNA from 1 species
AAGGAUCAAUUCCACACCGAUCCAAGAUCUGUCUUCAUUGCGAAUCUGA